CUCCAGAUGUUGCUGAACUACAACUCCCAUGAUUCUCAGCCUAUCUAUUUCAUUCUAUUUUCAUAGAAUAAUGGGAGUUGUAGUUCAGCAAUGUCUGGAG